rnacentral:tRNA from 3 species
GCCUUGGUGGUGGAACUGGUAGACACCCGGGACUUAAAAUCCCGUUUCCGAAAGGAAGUGUCGGUUCGAAUCCGACCCGAGGCACCA